AUUGAACGCUGGCGGCAGGCCUAACACAUGCAAGUCGAACGAGUGGCGGACGGGUGAGUAAUGUCUGGGAAACUGCCUGAUGGAGGGGGAUAACUACUGGAAACGGUAGCUAAUACCGCAUACCAUCAGAUGUGCCCAGAUGGGAUUAGCUAGUUGGUGGGGUAACGGCUCACCAAGGCGACGAUCCCUAGCUGGUCUGAGAGGAUGACCAGCCACACGUGAACUGAGACACGGGCCAGACUCCUACGGGAGGCAGCAGUGGGGAAUAUUGCACAAUGGGCGCAAGCCUGAUGGAGCCAUGCCGCGUGUGUGAAGAAGGCCUUCGGAUUGUAAAGUACUGUUAUCAGGGAGGCGUUACCCGCAGAAGAAGCACCGGCUAACUCCGUGCCAGCAGCCGCGGUAAUAC
rnacentral:rRNA from 1 species